rnacentral:lncRNA from 1 species
CUCCCUCUUUUCUCUGCACCAUUCCUUCCCUUCUUCCUCCAUCUGCCCUUCCCUCUUCUGCUGUUCCGUCUGUUCUCCUCGCCCUCUCUUUCUUUCCCUUGCCAUUUUUAGAUCAGCUCUCCUUACGCGUAUCCUCUCUUCUGUUUUGCCCUCUUUCUUCCCCCCCUCUCAUUCAUCACUCUUCUGUUCUUCCCCCUUACAAGCUCCUCUCUUCCCUUUUUUCUUUGUUCUGCUCGAUCUUUUCUCUCCUCUCCUUCUCUGCUCUCCUCUUUAUUGUCCCUGCUCCUCUCUCUGUCCUCCACUUUUCCCUUCUUUCUUCUCAUUUAUUCACCUUUAUAUUCCCAGGGAGGACUGCUCAGGAGACUACAGGAACGUUCUGCUGAAGCUCUGUGGCAGUGAGGAUUGAAGGAUUCCUGGUGUGUUUGUAACUGUUGGUGAAUAACGCUCUGAAGGCAUCACAGACUGCCUGCUUGUCUCUGCAGUGCUCGGGGCUUUUCUGAGCUGCAGGCUCGCUGUCGCCCUGUGGCAUAGCCUUGCAUCUGGUGACGGACUGAAGCUGGAGAAUCCUGGCAGCAGAGGACGCUCCUGCCCCACAGAAGGGCUCACAGCUCCACCGCAGCUCCACCGACCUCAGUGCUGGUGAGGAGGCUGAGAUGCCUCCAAGUGAUGAAUGCAGUGCACCCAACCUUACACCUCGUGUGGUUCACUGUGCGAGGCGACCAGGAAGAAAGGUGGGCACAGGUAAUACUGCAUCAAAAGCAACUGCAGAGCUCUCGGGCUGGUAGUCCAGGGUGUGGGGGCCCAGGUGGUGCUGUGGGACAGGUGUGAAAGGAGGGCACUGGUGGUGCGUGCCAGUCCUUGGCUGCAGGACUGGUGCUGGUGGCAGGGCCUUGGGUUCUGUGUCUGCAGGACCUCUUUGCAGAUUGGUGUCUGCUUGGAAGGGAUGGGACCCACCUACCUAAGAGAGGUGAGGAUAUUUUCAUCAGUAGGAUGGCAGCUUCACAAGGGAGGCUUUAACCUAAGAAUGGUGAGGGCUUUUGAUCACAGGGAUGGGGUGAUGUGAGGGAGAGGGACCAGAAAAUCAGCACUUGCAGGGUUGCAAGGAAAUGCCUGAAGGCACUGCUAUGGGGAGAUCCCCCAAAGCUCCAGAGGAGGUUGUGGUGGGUAACGGGGGGAGGCUGCUUGGAUUUGUGCAGAGGGAGAGCUGGAGAGAGAAAUAGAUAGACAGAGGGAUCAACAGAGGAGAGAACUGUUAGAUGGAUGGAUGGAAAAACGGAUUGAAGGAUCAUUGGAUUGUUGGAUGAAAGGGUGGAUGUAAAUACAGGUGGGUGGAGAGAUCAACAGGAAAAUAUGAUUUCUGCCUCAAAGACCAGUGUGCCCCCAGGCCCCACUCCCUCCAUGGGAACCAGUGGCGGUGGCCCUGCGGGUACAGAACCCACGUCCCAUUGGCUGGAGCCACUCUCUUGGCUGCUACAGAACCCAGAACCUUUGGAGGAGGCUCAGUUCCAUGGCUCUGGCAUGGGGAGUGCUGGAUCCCUGGAUCCUCUGUCCAUUUGGGAUGGGGUGAUGGGGUCUGUGGUGCAGGAUGGAUCUUGGGUAUGGUGGUCUGUUGCCCCCUUUUAGUGGGAUGUGGGGUGAGAGAAGUCCUUGCCGUAUGAGUCCCUUUCUUACAGGAGGGAUUGGGCUCUAUGGAGUAGAAUGGGUCAGUGAGGUCCGUUGCCCACCUAUCAGGUUUACGGGGUCCAGUGGGGCAGGGAGGGGUCCCAAACCCCUCAGUUGGAUGCCCUGUUUAAGGUGGGAAGGAGGAUAAUGAGGUAAAGUGGGGCAGAGGGAGGGCCCCCUCCUUGCCCCUCCCCUUCAUUGCUGUGAUGUCAGUGGGGUAACAGCAGUUCUCAGGGUAACUGUCCCAACCCCAAACCAUCCUAGACUUCUCUCUGAUCAGCUGUGAAGAUGGUGCCUUGUGGCCUUGUUCCCAUCUGGGAUGGAUCGUUCUACAAUGCUGUGUGUCCCAUUGGGCCAAAAGUACUGGUUUGGUGCUGAAAUCCAACUCCAUUCCUCACCAGCUGUAUUCCCAAGGAAUCCUCCUUCCCCAUCCUCCCCAAGCUCCCAACUUCUAUCUCCAACUGAUGUGCAGGAAUCAAACUCUAUAACCACAGAGUAGUUAUAAAGCAGGUAUGUUUAAUCAGCGCUGCACACACGCUGGAUGCAGAGGGGGUAUUCCCACCUAGCCUGCAUACUGGAGGGCAAGCAAGGCACAUACUUAAAGAACAAGCUGCUUACAUAUGCAUUAGGAUAAGGAUAGGAUAAGGGGGAAUAUGUGGAGUCAUUCAUGCAUCUACUUACAAGUUGGGUCAUCCCAUUAUGUGCUCCAAAUACAAGGUUGAAUUUUGGUCCUAAAAUAAUAGUGCCGUUAGCAGCAGCUUCCUCACCUUCCCCUAAGCAAAUGGGCUCCCUCUGACCGCUUUUAUAUUUGUGCUGAGCAGGUCAAUUUAGUGACGGGACCCCAAAGCAUGGUACGUCCAUCCCUGCCUGUGGUAGUCAUGUGCAGAUCCAGCAAUCAGAGAAGUUUGAAGUCUUAGCACAGUUACUAAUUACACUGUAAAAGGAGCUCUCUUCCCAGGCCAGAACACCUCCCGCGUACAUUGAGAUAAAGCAAAUUAGUAACCAGCUCAUCUUGUCUUGAUGAGUUUAACUUUUGACGGUGCACUUUCCUUGGCAGACCCCGGCAUCUUGGAAUAACCUCCUGCAACAAUACUUACCUCACAUGCCUUAUUAGUCCUACAAGGGAAUGCCUCCAGCCACCCUAAAAAGCUAUCAGGACCAACAUACAGCAGUAUACCCCCCCCCGCCUUUUCUUGGGAGUUCUGAGAAAUCAAUUUGCCAUUGUUGCCCUGGCAGGUUCCCUUUCCCAGUAGGCCCACUUGUACCCUGUUCCUGGUACUAGGAUUGUACUUGGUAGUCUCUGUUCCCGCAGUAUGUUUUCUUAUCUUCCCUUAGAACCAAUUUCCAUACAAUACUAACGGGCACAACAAUGUGUCCAUCUGGGCGUGAACCCAUCUGUCAGCUUGCUCUCUUCCCUUCUAAACCACUAAUUAGAUUCCUAUCCUCCGUAGGAUAUUUUACAGGUUCUGACUCAGGUUCAGAGAUUUUAAGUUUACCGUCUGGAAUUAAAGCCUUCUUCAACUGCCUGUUCUGCCACCUGAUCCGCCAUCUUAUCUCCAGUUUCCUGUACAGUGCUACCUUUCUGGUGUCCUUUACAGAGUAUAAUAGCCAUGCUCUUUGGUAGAUGUACAUCAUACUGAAUGUUUUCCUUGUGUGUGAGCAAUCCUUGCUCUUUCCAGAGGGCACUAUGAGCGUGUUCCACCCCAAAAGCAUGUUUAGCAUCUGACCAUGUAUUUAAGGCUCUUGUCAAGGCAGUUAUUGCAGCCUUCUGAGCCAAGUCCCCACAGGCAAUGGUUGUUCGAUUACCUGGUCAGUAGCAGUUACUGCAUAUCCUGCCUUACGGUUGCCUCGUCUCACAACACUGCUUCUGUCGGAUGAACCCAGGAAUCCUCAGCACUGUCCAAUGGUUCCUCCUGUAGGUCUGGCCGACUGGCACAGUCAGUCUCCAAGCAGUCGCACGCUGCCGGUUUGGAGGUAGUUCUGUGUUGGUGUUAGAAUCAUGGAAUGGCCUGGGUUGAGAAGGACCUCAAAGAUCGUCCAGUUCCAACCCCCUGCUAUGUGCAGGGUCACCAACUGACGGACCAGGCUGCCCAGAGCCUUGUCUUGAAUAAGAUUGUUUUUAGGCGAACAAAAACUUUGGAUCACCUUUCAAAUAC